rnacentral:rRNA from 1 species
UACGGAGGGUGCAAGCGUUACCCGGAAUCACUGGGCGUAAAGGGCGUGUAGGCGGACACUUAAGUCUGGUUUUAAAGACUGCGGCUCAACCGCAGGGAUGGACUGGAUACUGGGUGUCUUGACCUCUGGAGAGAGAACUGGAAUUCCUGGUGUAGCGGUGGAAUGCGUAGAUAUCGUAAGGAAGACCAGUGGCGAAGGCGAGUCUCUGGACAGCAACUGACGCUGAGGCACGAAGGCCAGGGGAGCAAACGGG